rnacentral:ncRNA from 1 species
AGCUCGGUACCCUUUGUAACACCGCCCGUCGCUAUCUAAGAUGGUAUAUCUAUGAACAAUUUAUAAAGUGAAUAGAUAGUACUAGAUCUGAUAUAAGUCGUAACAUGGUUGCUGUUGGAGAACCAUUAGCAGGAUCAUAA